rfam:Schistosoma margrebowiei strain Zambia genome assembly, scaffold: SMRZ_scaffold0003972
AUCCAACUGACGAGUUCCGAAUAGGACGAAACACGCACCUGUUGGAU